rnacentral:rRNA from 1 species
ACGAAGGGGGCUAGCGUUGUUCGGAAUUACUGGGCGUAAAGCGCACGUAGGCGGAUUUUUAAGUCAGGUGUGAAAUCCCGGGGCUCAACCUCGGAACUGCAUUUGAAACUGGAAGUCUUGAGACCAGGAGAGGUUAGCGGAAUACCGAGUGUAGAGGUGAAAUUCGUAGAUAUUCGGUGGAACACCAGUGGCGAAGGCGGCUAACUGGACUGGUACUGACGCUGAGGUGCGAAAGUGUGGGGAGCAAACAGGAUUAGAUACCCUGGUAGUCCACACCGUAAACGAUGAGAGCUAGUUGUUGGCAGGCAUGCCUGUCGGUGACGCAGCUAACGCAUUAAGCUCUCCGCCUGGGGAGUACGGCCGCAAGGUUA